GGCUCUACCUCCCUCCAUUCUAAACAGUUGGUUUGUUUGCGUGUUGUGUGCAGCGGUGUCGUUUGUUUACAAGCCAGAAGCCGAGUAACGAGAGUGCCAGACAGAGAAACACAAACGACCUCAGUCGAAAUUGUUUUAAUCUGUACUAGUGGCGUCCAGUCGUUUAAUGAAAUAGUAUUUUAGGGCUCGAAAGUUUAGUGAACAUUGAAUGUGAAGCGUAAUUUCUCCGUCAAGUUGUGAAAAUUUUAUUGACAACUCCAGUUGCGUAAUAAGCCGCCAAAUGAUUGGAAUUGGAUAAAUAUUGUUUGUAGCGCAUUGGAAUUGAAGUAAGUGCAUAGGUCCGAAAAACGAAUAGUGAAAAUUGUACACCACAAUUUUAAAAUUGUAAUGAUUUUGAAAGUAUAGUUUGUGAUCCUCGUAAAUCGUGUUUGUAUCAGUGUGUGUCUAUGACAAUUGUGCUUUGCUACACUCUGAUUCUGAUUUAACAUCGGGUUAAGUGUUAAGUCGAAUAAAAAAAACGGCGACAUGAAUGGAGUCACGAUGAUGGACGAGAACGAUGUAGACAUCAAAAGCCCGAUCAGGCGACUGGGUUCUACAAGAAAGCUGAACUUGUUCAAUAAUAUCAGACAACAGCUGAACGAGCAGCUCAAAUUUCUGGAUGUUCGCAUGGAAGCACAGAUUGCGCUCGUACAAGAGCUGCAAGAUUUUUUUCGACGACGAGGCGAGGUAGAACUUGAUUACAGCAAGAGCUUGGACAAGCUAGCUAAAAGCUUGCAGCUUCGACACAAAGAGCAGCGGCAAAAGCGUGAGCAAUGGCCAAUGUUCUCUUCUUACUCUUGCUGGCAACAGCUUGUCAAUCAAACCAAAUCCCUAUCUAGGGAUCAUGCAGCAAUGUCGGAGAUUUACUCUACACAUUUGGUAGCACGUUUGCAGACAGUGUGGGACGACGUUCAACGUAUCUACAGAAAGUGUCGAGAAAUUGGGUUUGAAACGCACGUUGAAAUAUUGCGAAUUUUACAAGAACUGCACACGAACAUGAAAACGUACCACACGUUGCAAACGGAAGCAAAGGAAGCAGAAAAAAAGUUGCGACUUGCUGAAAACCAGCGGAUGAAGCUGCAGCAGAGUGUGCCGAAGGAAAAGCUGGAGCGUAGCAAAAAGUAUCGUUUGAUCGAGAAAGAGGUACUGAAAAGAAAAAACAAGUACACAGACGCAAGACUGAAGGCGCUCAAGGCAAAGAACGAGUAUCAGCUGUGCCUGGAAGCUUCCAAUACGACGAUCCACAAAUAUUUUGUCGAAGACUUGAGCGAUCUAAUUGAUUGUAUGGAUCUGGGUUUUCAUUCGGUCGUCUCGCGUGCACUGCUGAUGCACGUUUCCGCAGAUCAGGGUCGUUGUCGAGCGGUGCUACAUAAUGCCGAAACCCUAUCACAUAUCGUCAACUCAAUGGACAGUCGGGCGGACAAACAGAAAUUUCUUGAACAACACAGUGCAGCUUUUAUGAUUCCAAAACGGUUAGAGUUCCAGGGACAGGACGAAGAUGUAGAACCGGAGCUGCAAAAAGCGUUGCAUCAAGAAAUGGAAUCUCGGCUUAUGCAGCUAGAACAGCGCGUGAACAAUUUGCGUAUGGAAUCGGAGGAAAUUUGGAAAACCCUGGAAACAGCUGAAAUCAAUCUGCUUGACAUACUCAAUACUAAGGAUUAUGAUUGUACUAGUGCUUUCGGUGACGGUGCGGUUGCUUUUCAGAAGCCCGAAAAUACGUCCGUAAAACUGCGAUCAGACAAAAAUGAAAUAGAAGAAUUCUACAUAACGAAAAUUCGCGAAUACAUUCUUGCAACAUCGCGAAUAGCGCGGUUAGAUUCAAAAGCAGAAUACCUGCGGAACGCUUUGGCAAAAGAUUCAGCUAUCAAAACAGAUACCCUUACAAAAUCGAACGUCCCGAAACGGAAGCGUAUCGGUCGUAUGAACAAAUCGGGUCGACCAAAACUGUUCGGUGGUUCGCUUGAGGAAUACUUGGAAGUUUCGGGGGAAGAAAUUCCGCUCAUUGUGCGAAGCUGCAUCAGAGUCAUCAAUCUUUUUGGUUUACAUCACCAAGGCAUAUUCCGUGUUUCAGGAUCUCAAGUAGAAAUAAGUAACUUUAAAGAAGCCUUUGAACGAGGUGACGAUCCGCUAGCUGAAAUGACCGAUGCGUCCGAUAUCAAUUCUGUCGCUGGUGUGUUGAAACUGUAUUUACGCGAACUUCGAGAACCACUGUUUCCUUUAAUUUACUUUGAUCAUUUCGUUCAACUGGCACAGCUUGAAUCCAAGCAAGAUAUCGUAUCGGGUAUAAGAAAGUUUUUCCAAAGUCUCCCAAAGUCAGUUGUAGUGGUUAUUCGGUAUCUUUUCGCAUUUUUGAACCACUUAUCAGAAUAUUCCGAUGAAAAUAUGAUGGAUGCUUACAACUUGGCAAUCUGUUUUGGUCCCACACUGAUGCCAGCGCCCGAGGAUAAAGACCAAGUGCAGUAUCAGAAUCAAGUAAAUGAGCUGAUAAAGAACAUCAUUGUCCAUCAUGCAGAACUCUUCCCGAAGGAUCUUGGUGGAAUUCAUUACGAAAAGUUUAUCACUUCAGAAACGUUUGAAGACAUUGAUGUUGGAGACUCACCCACAGAGCAAGUGUCGGAAGAUCCGGAUUCAGAAGUGUAUCCAUCAGAGGAUGAGUCAGACACAUUUGAAGCAAUCGUUCAGUUUGAUUUCAAUGCACGUUCCGAGAGGGAAUUAUCGUUACGGAAAGGGGAUACUGUGAUACUGUACAAUCAGGUUUCCAACGAUUGGUGGCGAGGUGCAGUAAACGGUAAAACUGGACUUAUUCCAGAUAAGUACAUAUCGCUAAAAAUCAAGGAUGAAGAGCGCGAUAAAAGUGAACAUUUGAAAUCUUCCAGUUCAGAAGAAUCCGUCCGAAAGCGUCGUCCCAGUGGAAACAUUUCACUUAACAGUCAACUUUCGAUUUGUACACAAAACUCGAACACCCUCUCGAAUAUAACGUGCGGUAGUGAUUAUACCGCUUCGACUAUAAGCGCUACAACGGCAUCUGCCGGUGGACACAGUGCAACUGGCAAUGGUGCGACAACUGCAGCUGGUGGUACACCUAGUGGCAGUGGAGCCGCGGGAACUUCUGCCGGAUUAAUUCAAACGUCAUUGCCUUCUCCCGGGCAUCCGCAAUAUCAAACAAUUCAGAAUUCUUCACAAGGAGGCUCAUCUGGCCACCAUUCUACAUCUUCUCAGUCACAGCCUCCACAGCAAUCUAUUGCGAUAGUAACACAUCAGCCACCGUUGCCAUCGACACACCAUGCUCCUCCGCUGAUUGGCGAAAAGUUGGGCAAUGAACGAAAGGAUACCGACUUCAUACACUAUGAUAGUGUGGAUCACCUGAAAGCAUCGCCAUACAGCUACCACGACGAACCGCACUCGUUCGAAAACUCUUUCGAGUUUGUCGAAGACAUGGCUCUUUUCACAUACGAGACAUCAAAACCAUCGGAACCGAUUUAUGCCGAACCGACCAAAAUUACUACGAACCGCGAGAAAUCACCAGCGGCUGACAGUGGCACAAGCAGCAACAGCAACGAAGAUGAAAUGGAUAGCGUGGAAAUCCGACCCCGGCUUGGCGGAAUGGGAGAACCAUCAGAGCAUAGCAAAUCGACUCUUGGUUUGAAUCGCCGCAGCGAAACGACUCUAUCCACCGGCAAAACAAUCGCUGUUGACGGUGAACCAUCGGCCGUGGAUGACCAAUCCGAUCAAUCCCGACCAAUGCGAAAGUAUCACGCGAAGAGCUUCAGCCUGUCAGAGAACAAACUAUCCCUAGUUGCUGGUGGCGGUGGAUCAGCAACGCUAAAUGUGUUUCAACAGAACCGCGACCUGUGGCAGAAACGCGCUGCACAAAGCUCAUACCAAAACCUAACAACGUCGCGCAUUCUAAGUCGUAACCGAAUUGCACCAGAUUUGGUGAUGGAUCUUCCGCCCUCCGCCAUUAGCAAGGAAACCGCACACGCAUCAAGAGAAUCUUUAGACACCGAGCUAGAGGAUAUGACCUCAGCUGAACGGUUUGCUGCUCAGAACCAGUGUACAUUGAAAAAGAACGAACGAUUUUCGAAUGAAUCUCCUGUGUAUGAAAAUAACACGGUGAAAAAAGAGGUAAAGCUGGAUGUGAAAGGAGCAACGGUGACUGAUAAACCGAAAGCAGAAGUGAAGCCACAAGAAAACAGUAUUAAAAGUUCAAGCACGGCUGCAACUGAAGCUUCAAAAUCAUUAGAAGGUUGUAGUGCUGACGCUGGGAAAGAAGACGAAUCACGAAGAUUGUCAGCAAUUACCGUCCCCGUUGCGUCUUCCUCGUCUACAACAAGUGUGGCCGCAAGUGCGGUCACUGACGUGGCCGAAUUAGAAGUUGCUUCCUCUUCAAACGAAACUGAACUAUCGCUAGCGCCAUCGUCGUUACCGGGAAAAGAACUUAGCAAGAGUCCGAUCCCUGUGCGCAACACACAGAAAUUUGUGUCCCAGUUUGCUGAUUUACAUCUAACUGGCGGCUGUCUGAUGAAGUCAACCGAAGGGACGUCGGCAGCAAGCGCCUCUUCCAUGACGCAGGAGCAACAAGCAAAGAAUCUGAGCUCAUUCAAACCGCAAGUAAAAGUGAAGCCACAAAUACUGAAAAAGCCCCAGGUGCUACCACCGCAAACGCCCGAAAUGCAACGCCGCAAUGCAGACUAGAAGUGGGCUCUGUUCUCACGCUCUAAUACGUUCAACAUGUAAAUAUGUGUGCACGUAGCAAAUGGAAGCGAUGAGAACAUUAUCACCUGAUAAAGCAUGGCAAAGCGGUCAGGUUGAGAUGCGCUUCGUCUUUCUGUAUGGUAUUUCUGGUAUACACGGUGAAUGCUACUACAGAAAGGAAAACGCAUGAGACUAACAGACAGAAUGCGUACAGCGUGAAGCGUAAAGAGAUUGGCAUGAAAGUGACUGAUUGCAAAAUGAUGCAAAGUGUACAACCUUUGCAAGAACCUUGACAAAGUAAACAUUACACAUACAUCCAUUUUCCGAGGAUGUGGUAGUCCGAUCGCCAUGAAUGAAGCCAUGAUGGAACCUUUUGGUUUGGUAAUUAGGCGUAAUCAAAGUACAGCGCAUUGUUGGUAUUUGUUGCGGAAUUGAUCAUGAUGCGCAGGAAUGGAUUGAGUAAAACACCAAUAUUUCGAAUAUAUACAUUGAUAAGUGAAAAGUUUUUAAUAAUUAAGACUGGAUCGGUACAAUACACAAUACUCGUAAAACAGGCGAAAUGAAAGCAAAGCUAAACAUUGCACACAUUAGCUAAAAAUAUUACCAUGGAUUUGUAGUUCGUGCACUCAUGCGCGAACAGUGCAAACGAUUCAACAAGAAUGCAAAAUGAAGCGAGAAUAUGGCGAGCAAAGUUGGUCGGCGCGGUGUACCGUGUACCCGUGUACACCAACACCAUGCGGACCACACACACACACGUAUAUGGUAGUGGUGCCUUUUUUACGUAUUUGGUUAAUCUGCGUAGCAUAUUUUUAUGCUGCGUUAAUGAUUUUUCUUCAAUUACGAGCAACGAACAAAAUGAAAGCUUACUGGAAUGAGUAUAUUAUUUAACUAUGUAUGGGUUGUUCUUUUUUCCCAUUGCGUGUAAAGCCGUACUGUGUUUUAAUGGUACCGUAUAUUUUGUUGAUUUAACAGUUUCAGUGACGGCUAUCUUCUUCACUAAGUUGCCGUGCACACCACUUUCGGCGACAGAAACUUCAAUCUGAAAGAUAAAUAACAGUGAACGGACGAACAUUGUUCAAAAUAAACCAUUCUAGACGAAAACCAACACGAAAACAAGGUGCACACGAAACGAAAUGUAACCAGAACCAGCAGAGUAGAGUCUGAACGUAGUCUGUAGUAGGUCCAUGAUAUUUCGAUCAUAUAGUAAAGCGUAGAAGUAGGUUGAAAAAAAAAAGAUUCAGCGGAAACACAGGACAGGGACGAUAGAGCUAAGAGCAAAGGUGAUUAUGAUAUAAUAACUAGCAAUCCUAAUCGCAAACAUUAUACGACUGAUAAUACAAGCACACGCACAAGGCGCGAUAUUUUUGAUUACGAAACAAAUACGGAUAGUGGGUGUGGCAGUCAACAUCUGGCAGUAAAUGAAAAAAUAUAUUUUUUGAUUUAACAACAAAACAAAAGGCAUCAUUUACGAGUAUACGUAACACAUUCGCUAAAUUAUAUUUUCAAUACACACAGAACAGAAGUCCUCCUCUGAUUUUUCCUCUCUGGUAUCGUUGUUGUAACCUAUGAAACACAGUAAUUGCAAUCUUAUCGUAUUUAAUAAUGCUUGACAAACCAAACUCACUUUUACACUGAGCGCAAAUCAUGUAUGUCUGUCUGUGUGUCUGUGUGUGUGUGUAAAGUAAUUCUAACAAUUUCAUCGUCAGCAUCAUAAAAGUAAUCUCCAGCAAACAGCAAAUUCAUCGCUAUUAAUAAAUAGUGCAUUGUGUUACAAUAAAACACACCCAUAUGACUAAAACCAUAGUUUCCGCUACACGCAACUACGCUCUAUCGCAAGCAGAGAAAGAUAAACAUAUAUAUAUACAUACACGUGAAUCAAUAAUAAUCUCUUGCUAUCUUCGAAUCCCUGGUACGACGAUUUACAUAUAGAGCGAGCGAGAGAGAGAGAAAGAGAGAGAGAGAGAGAGAGAGAGAGAGAGAGAGAGAAUGCAAUGUUAACUAGACUGCAGCAAAGGUACAAUAAUGUAACGCCGUGUAGUUGCGCCACACACCAGACCGUAUCGUUUCCGAAGAGAAAAUUUCGUUUCAACAAUAAGUGAAAUUGGUUUCAAUGGCAGCGAUAUCUGAUUUAUUUUCUUUCUGUCAUUGCAAACAUUUAGACCUGUAUCAGUUUUUCAAUAAAGUAUCAGUUCUGAAAUAAUGUACCUACGAUGUGCUGAGAAGAGAUAGUGCAGGAGGUUUUACACGAUGAUCUCUAUCGUCCGCUGUUCAACGUACAGGGUUUAGUUAAUAAUAAUGCGUUGGUUGAUCAUGAGGGCAUCAGCACAAUGGUGAGAUGAUCAUUAAACGGAAUGCCAGUAACCAGGGAGAAAAAGAGGGCGAGAGAGCGAGAGAGCGAGAGAGCGAGAGAGAGAGAGAGAGAGAGAGAGAGAGAGAGAGAGAGAGAGAGAGAGUAUGACGGUCGGAGAGCUAGAUUCGUUUGGAUCCGGCGGUUGGAGAAACAUGUCCACACACACGGACGUAAUGGAAAAAGUUUUUUCUAAUUUUCUUAAUUUUCCGGAACCUGCGUUACAGCGUAACAGGGUGUGCUAAUAAUACACUACCACACUGAUAGGACUUUGCAGAAAGAAAAGGAAAUGGAAGAGAGAAGGGGGUGGGUUUGCGAAACCAGUGCAGUAGUGUAGCUGCAAGCACAAGCAAAGCAAAACGAAGUAUAUAACUAUAAAUACAUACUUCCGCAGAUUAAUUUACACCUAAUGGGAUGCGAGGUGAAUCGAAGGCAUCAAUUAUAUACAGAAUAAAUGUGACACACUAAUGAAACCAAACCAAAUGGACCAAUUUCAAUUUAACCAAUUCAUUAUUUCAACCCUCUUCGUAGCAAGCCAUGAGUUCAAGUUGUGAUCGUUUUCACCGCAUGAAUAGUAUUGACAGUCCAAUACUACACAGUGCGAUGUUCAAAGCAUUUUGCCGCUGUUUUGCCGGUAGUUUGCGCAAGGGGAUUUGUUUAUACUGGUAAUUUGCAUCACCCAGGAUCGGCCAACCGUUGGCCACAGUUUGGAGACACGUCCUAGCGCGUUUGGCGUUCAGUCAUCGGUAACAUAUCGCUCGUUAUCUACGCAUUAUCCUGUGUGGUAUGAUAGUAUGUGUCUCGGGAAACUCCCUAAAGGAUGGAUUCUUUCAGCAAUUGUUUGAAACUCUGUUUCGCUCUGAAAGCAACACAAGACCCGCCACGGAACCCACCUUCAUAUCGCGUAACGACACGUUGGAAACUGCAGUGAUGAAUGUAUCGUCAUCAUCAUCAUCAUCAGAAACGAGCGAUCAUGUUUCGCGUGCAGCAAUUAUCCUGUCCGAACCGGUUAAAAAUGGUACGCUCUUCCUGGAAGAUGGCUCAUCUAAAACACGCCCUGAAACACAGUUUGGUGAAAUGACGGAUCAAGAAGGACAAGCAAGAAGCUCGGCCGUUGCAGAACGUACCGUGAACUGAAAGAAACAUAUUCUAAGUGAUUACAGCAACGACCGAGAAUGUUAGCGAACAGUAAGAAUUAUUGAGCUUUGAUUUUAGAUUAAGAGCUUAGAAUGAGGAUAAAAAAUAAUCUCAUUUACUCUAAAAGAGAUGUGAGAUGAGUAAUAUGUCCAGUAACAUUCAAAUAAAGCUGUUAAUUUAAUCAAA